GGCGCCGUGGCAGAGUGGUCUAAUGCGAUAGACUAGAAAUUCAAUUCGAAUUCCUAGCUCAUCUAUUCUCUUCGGAGGCGCAUGUUCGAAUCAUGCCGGCGUCG